rnacentral:rRNA from 1 species
AGAGUUUGAUCAUGGCUCAGAACGAACGCUGGCGGCAGGCCUAACACAUGCAAGUCGAACGCCGUAGCAAUACGGAGUGGCAGACGGGUGAGUAACGCGUGGGAACAUACCCCUCGGUUCGGAAUAACUCAGGGAAACUUGAGCUAAUACCGGAUACGUCCGAGGUUUUAAUCGACCUUGGAGAAAGAUUUAUCGCCGGAGGAUUGGCCCGCGUCUGAUUAGCUUGUUGGUGAGGUAACGGCUCACCAAGGCGACGAUCAGUAGCUGGUCUGAGAGGAUGAUCAGCCACAUUGGGACUGAGACACGGCCCAAACUCCUACGGGAGGCAGCAGUGGGGAAUAUUGGACAAUGGGCGAAAGCCUGAUCCAGCCAUGCCGCGUGAGUGAUGAAGGCCUUAGGGUUGUAAAGCUCUUUUGCCCGGGAAGAUAAUGACGGUACCGGGAGAAUAAGCCCCGGCUAACUUCGUGCCAGCAGCCGCGGUAAUACGAAGGGGGCUAGCGUUGUUCGGAAUUACUGGGCGUAAAGCGCACGUAGGCGGAUCCUUAAGUCAGGGGUGAAAUCCCGAGGCUCAACCUCGGAACUGCCUUUGAUACUGGGGAUAUCGAGUCCGGGAGAGGUGAGUGGAACUGCGAGUGUAGAGGUGAAAUUCGUAGAUAUUCGCAAGAACACCGUGGCGAAGGCGGCUCACUGGCCCGGGUACUGACGCUGAGGUGCGAAAGCGUGGGGAGCAAACAGGAUUAGAUACCCCAGUAGUCC